CCUACGGGAGGCAGCAGUGAGGAAUAUUGGACAAUGGGCGCAAGCCUGAUCCAGCCAUGCCGCGUGCAGGAUGACGGUCCUAUGGAUUGUAAACUGCUUUUAUACGGGAAGAAACCCUGGCUCGUGAGCCAGAUUGACGGUACCGUAAGGAUAAGGAUCGGCUAACUCCGUGCCAGCAGCCGCGGUAAUACGGAGGAUCCAAGCGUUAUCCGGAAUCAUUGGGUUUAAAGGGUCCGUAGGCGGUUUAAUAAGUCAGUGGUGAAAGCCCAUCGCUCAACGGUGGAACGGCCAUUGAUACUGUUAGACUUGAAUUAUUAGGGAGUAACUAGAAUAUGUAGUGUAGCGGUGAAAUGCUUAGAGAUUACAUGGAAUACCAAUUGCGAAGGCAGGUUACUACUAAUUGAUUGACGCUGAUGGACGAAAGCGUGGGUAGCGAACAGGAUUAGAUACCCUGGUAGUCCACGCCGUAAACGAUGGAUACUAGCUGUUGGGAGUAAUCUCAGUGGCUAAGCGAAAGUGAUAAGUAUCCCACCUGGGGAGUACGUUCGCAAGAAUGAAACUCAAAUGAGUAGAGCGUGAGAGAGACGACGACGACGACGAGGGAGGAGG
rnacentral:rRNA from 1 species